CACGUAGGGUGCGAGCGUUGUCCGGAAUUAUUGGGCGCAAAGAGCUCGUAGGCGGUGUGUCGCGUCGGCCGUGAAAACCUGCAGCUUAACUGUGGGCUUGCGGUCGAUACGGGCAUCACUGGAGUUCGGCAGGGGAGACUGGAAUUCCUGGUGUAGCGGUGAAAUGCGCAGAUAUCAGGAGGAACACCGGUGGCGAAGGCGGGUCUCUGGGCCGAUACUGACGCUGAGACGCGAAAGCGUGGGGAGCAAACAGG
rnacentral:rRNA from 1 species